rnacentral:rRNA from 1 species
GGGUCAAGCUUCCAAGAAAAGCCCUAUACCCGUUAAGGCAUGAUGGCCUGUACCCGAAACCGACACAGGUGGGGUGGUAGAGAAUACCGAGGGGCGUGAGAUAACUCUCUCUAAGGAACUCGGCAAAAUGGCCCCGUAACUUCGGGAGAAGGGGUGCCACCGCAAGGUGGUCGCAGUGAAGAGGCCCAGGCGACUGUUUACCAAAAACACAGGUCUCCGCUAAGUCGCAAGACGAUGUAUGGGGGCUGACGCCUGCCCAGUGCCGGAAGGUUAAGGAAGCUGGUCAGCGUAAGCGAAGCUAGCGACUGAAGCCCCGGUGAACGGCGGCCGUAACGAUAACGGUCCUAAGGUAGCGAAAUUCCUUGUCGGGUAAGUUCCGACCCGCACGAAAGGCGUAACGAUCUGGGCGCUGUCUCGGAGAGAGGCUCGGCGAAAUAGAAUUGUCUGUGAAGAUGCGGACUACGUGCACCCGGACAGAAAGACCCUAUGAAGCUUUACUGUAGCUUGGUAUUGUGCUCGGGCUCGGAAUGCGCAGGAUAGGUGGGAGGCUAUGAACCAUUGCUUGUGGGUGAUGGUGAGCCACUGGUGAGAUACCACUCUUUCCGAGCUAGAGUUCUAACAGCCACCCGUUAUCCGGGGGCUGGACAGUAUCAGGUGGGCAGUUUGACUGGGGCGGUCGCCUCCUAAAAGGUAACGGAGGCGCGCAAAGGUUUGCUCAGGCUGGUUGGAAAUCAGCCGACGAGUGUAAAAGCAGAAGCAAGCUUGACUGUGAGACCUACAAGUCGAACAGGGAGGAAACUCGGCUUUAGUGAUCCGACGGUUCUGCGUGGAAGGGCCGUCGCUCAACGGAUAAAAGUUACUCUAGGGAUAACAGGCUGAUCUCCCCCAAGAGUUCACAUCGACGGGGAGGUUUGGCACCUCGAUGUCGGCUCAUCGCAACCUGGGGCUGAAGUCGGUCCCAAGGGUUGGGCUGUUCGCCCAUUAAAGCGGUACGCGAGCUGGUUCAGAACGUCGUGAGACAGUUCGGUCCAUAUCCGGUGCAUGCGCAGGAAUAUUGAGAGGAUUUCUCCCUAGUACGAGAGGACCGGGAGGAACGCACCUCUGGUGUACCAGUUAUCGUGCCAACGGUAAACGCUGGGUAGCCAUGUGCGGAGAGGAUAACCGCUGAAAGCAUCUAAGUGGGAAGCCCACCUCAAGAUGAGUAUUCCCAUGGGGUAACCCAGUAAGGUCACGGGAAGAACACCCGUUGAUAGGCUCUACGUGGAAGCGCAGUAAUGUGUGAAGCGGAGGAGUACUAAUAGACCGAGGGCUUGACC